rnacentral:rRNA from 1 species
CCCUUAGAUGUUCUGGGCUGCACGCGCGCUACACUGAUGCGUUCAACGAGUUUAUGACCUUGCCCGAUAGGAUUGGGUAAUCUUUUUAAAUCGCAUCGUGAUGGGGAUAGAUUAUUGCAAUUAUUAAUCUUCAACGAGGAAUUCCUAGUAAGCGCGAGUCAUCAGCUCGUGCUGAUUACGUCCCUGCCCUUUGUACACACCGCCCGUCGCACCUACCGAUUGAAUGGUCCGGUGAAAUCUCGGGACGGCGGCUUGGUCGCUUGCGUCCGACUGCUGAAACUUGAUUAAACCAUAUCAUUUAGAGGAAGGUGUAGUCGUAACA